CAAUUAGUGAUUCGAGCGCAACAGUUCUAUUGAGCUAAGGCUGAGAACACCCUGUAUAAUUAGUAGAAAUAAUUGUUCAACUUUCCAUAAAAAUAAUUACACUUUAUAUCAUAUUUCCGUAGUAGAUGUUUUAUAAAUACUAUUUCCUCCAUUUAAAUGUUCGCGCAGUAUACACUCGUUGCCUCUUAAUAAUAUUCAGCACACGUAGUAGAAGUGAAAUAUGUAUUCUGGAUAUUCACUUCUUGCUAACGUGUCUAUGAUAUGUGAACUGUCGGUAACGCUGAGCGCGACACGAAAUAUUAAGGAGGCUCUAGAGCCCUAAAAAAAGAAAAUGCUGUGGUACGGUAGCGGACUCUACCUAAAUGGAACGGUCAGCUAAUGAACUACGUCUGACUGGAACAGAGAAGAGUGUGUCUGAGGUGGCUACAUUUAAAGCGUUGCCAGCUUUUAAAAAUGCGGUUUUUCUUCGCUGCUUGCGGCGACAGUACAGACUUGGGAUCCUAAGUAAUCUACAAACAUACUCUAAGCA